UAGGUCACCUGAGUUAAAUGGGUUGCAUUCCCUUUCCAGUAUGGUCCAUGGAAAACAUGCAGAGGAAAUGGCCCCACAGCAUUGGCUGAGUGUUUAUAUCUUCCAACCGAGUCUCCAUCGAACUGUUGUGGUGUUGCUGACUUGGCCUAGGUCACCUGACUUAAAAGGGUUGCAUUCCCUUUCCAGUAUGGUCCAUGGAAAACAUGCAGAGGAAAUGGCCCCACAGCAUUGGCUGAGUGUUUAUGUCAUCCAACCGAGUCUCCAUCGAACUGUUGUGGUGUUGCUGACUUGCCCUAGGUCACUUGAGUUAAAUGAGAUGCAUUCCUUUUCCUUCAUGGGCCAUGAGUGACAUCCAGAGAAAGUGUCACCACAACACUGGACAAAAGUUGAUGAUAUCUGAAUGAGCUACCAGUAAACCCCCCCCUUUUUUUGCUGUUAUUGCCUUGCCUGAGGAAAAGCGAGUUAAAAGAUGAUACCUACAGUGAUGAGUUGGAGUUAUAGAUGGUGCCAUUUCUUCUACCAGCAGCUUCACCAAAACAAUCUCCAUUAUACAUGCUGAUGCCUCUUUCCUGUGUAGCAGCAGACACCACCUGCAGAUAAGAAAUGCUUAAGGAAAACAUACUUUCAAGUAUCAAAAAAGGGUGCCCUUACUUCCAUCUAAGAUAUUUCGACCCUGAAAUCCUCUCCAGUUACAUGUGACCAUUCCUAACUCUGAAGCAAUUUUGGAAAGGAAG
rnacentral:lncRNA from 1 species